UUGGAGGGCAAGUCUGGUGCCAGCAGCCGCGGUAAUUCCAGCUCCAAUAGCGUAUAUUAAAGUUGUUGCAGUUAAAAAGCUCGUAGUUGAAUUUCGGGAUCAAUUUAUUGGUCGUGCUAUUGUACGUACUGGUAUUAUUGAUUCCUACCUUCUGACGAACCAUGAUGUCAUUAAUUUGGUGUCUUGGGGAAUCAGGACUGUUACUUUGAAAAAAUUAGAGUGUUUAAAGCAGGCUCACGCUUGAAUACAUUAGCAUGGAAUAACGAAAUAGGACGUUUGAUUCUAUUUUGUUGGUUUCUAGGAUCGACGUAAUGAUUAAUAGGGAUAGUUGGGGGCAUUAGUAUUCAAUUGUCAGAGGUGAAAUUCUUGGAUUUAUUGAAGACUAACUACUGCGAAAGCAUUUGCCAAGGAUGUUUUCAUUAAUCAAGAACGAAAGUUAGGGGAUCGAAGACGAUCAGAUACCGUCGUAGUCUUAACCAUAAACUAUGCCGACUAGGGAUCGGAUGAUGUUAAUUUUUUAAUGACUCAUUCGGCGCCUUACAGGAAAC
rnacentral:rRNA from 1 species